CCUACGGGAGGCAGCAGUGGGGAAUAUUGCACAAUGGGGGAAACCCUGAUGCAGCAACGCCGCGUGAAGGAAGAAGGUUUUCGGAUUGUAAACUUCUGUUCUUAGGGAAGAAUAAUGACGGUAGCUAAGGCGCACGCCCCGGCUAACUACGUUCCAGCAGCCGCGGGAAUUCGUAGGUGGCCAGCGUUGUCCGGAAUUACUGGGUGGAAAGGGAGCGCAGGCGGGAAGCCAAGUCCGCUGUGAAAACUACGGGCUUAACUUGGCGACUGAAGUUGAAACUGGUUGUCUUGAGUGAAGUAGAGGUUGGCGGAAUGCCGAGUGUAGCGGUGAAAUGCGUAGAUAUUCGGAGGAACACCGGUGGCGAAGGCGGCCAACUGGGCUUUAACUGACGCUGAGGCUCGAAAGUGUGGGGAGCAAACAGGAUUAGAUACCCGGGUAGUC
rnacentral:rRNA from 1 species